rnacentral:lncRNA from 10 species
GUCUUCUGCGUCGCUCACGCUGGGAGCCGUAGACCGGAGCUGUUCCUAUUCGGCCAUCUUGGCUCUUCCCCCGGUAUUUUGCCACUCUAUCAAGAAAGUUAAGGACUCUCAAGCUUUUGGAUGCUUAGAAAAUACAUCAGAGGAGGACAGAAACUCAGAUAUCUCUGCAUCCUGAAUUCAUUGGUGGAAUUGCUACUGUGCCCAGUAAAAGCAUUUCAGUCAUGCAAGGAGAGGAUGUUAAGGUAAAGGAAUGAAACCGAAGACCAGAAAGUGGUAAAAAGCAGCAGUGAAGAAACCAAAACUAAAACAAACCAGCAAAGACCAUAUUCAGCUCACAGCCUUUCAGGAACUGAAGUAGAUCAUUGGCCCAGACUCUCCACUGAAUCCGAAGAAUGCUUUGCAGGGGAUGUUCAGAGGCUUACCUGAGAAUGAGAGAAAAAGAAAUGAGCAAAUGACUCCUGAUUAUCAGUGGGAGACAGGAAGCGACCAUUUAACAUCCAAAGGAAAACUCAGAGGUUAAGCAAUUCAUCUCCUAGUUUUUACAAAUUGUCACAACUCUCCAAAAAUUUUCUGAUAUAUUUGUGGAGAAAGACCCACAUGUAAGUGAACCAACAGAGUUCAAACACAUGUUGUUUUAAGGGUCAACUAUAUAGGUAAGUAUCAUAUAGAAAAUCCCCUUUACCAUUUUUGAGAGAUGUGAUAGGCUAAUUGUUAAACCUAUGAAUAUCCUGUUACCUAUUUCUAUGUAACAAAUUACCCUAAAACUUAGUGACUUAAAAUAAUCAACAUUUAUUAUUUCACAGUUUCUGUUUGUCAGAUAUUUGUGUAUGGCUUAGCUGGUUCUGUUCAGUAUCUCCUAGGAGGUUGAAGUCUUGACUAGGUCUUCAAGAUCCACUUCAAGAUGGCUCACUUACAUGGCUGUUAGCAGGAAGCCUCAGUUUCUCACCAUGGUAGGCCUCUCCAUAGGAUACCUAAAUGUCCUCAUGACAUGGCUGUAAAUUUCCCUCUGCGCAAACGACCUGAGAGAGAGCCAGUGAGGAGGAAGACACAGUACCUUUUAUGAUCGAAUCGCCAAGUUUGUAAUGGAAUGGAUCUAGCUCAGGAUUGCCAAAUCUACUUUGCAGUAAAGAAGAAAAUAGACUUUGAAACUAAAACCAAGACUCUUGAUUUGAGAGACAGAGGAACCUGUGAUAUUCUUUGCAAAAUUUGUCAACUGUACACCCUGUGAAAAGAGAGAAGAGAACCAAAAGACCUCUCGAGCAAAAGAUAUUGCCACAAAGUCCUCCAGAAACCAUACCACUUCUUGACAGGGUGUGGAAGGCCGUGAGAACUGGAAGCUGUUCUGCCACUAUCAAAGGGGGCUCACCUGAUUUGGAAAAGUGAGCACUGGCAACACCCAUGCCCAACCGUGUUGUCAGUGGAAGUGAUCAUCUUGGACACAAGGUGAGUAAGAAAAUCUAACAGCUUUACUAACUAGAGGCUGCAGUCAUGGUUGGGAUAAACAUAACUCUGGAAUGGAGGCCCAAGCUAGCUACACACUUCUGGCAAACCCUGAGGCUGCACACAUGGUAACAUACUUCUCAGAAGCAGAUUUUGAUAAGAUGUGAAAGGGCCCAGAAGAAAGUAAAGUCUGCACAGCCUGCACUUUGAAGAAAAAGGAAUCCACAUCUAGAUAUAUCAUAAGCCAAUCACUGAAAACAAAAUACAAAGAGAAAAUCUUAAAAGCAACAAGAGAAAGAAAAAAACUCAUAACAUAUAGGUGAGCAUCAAUAUAAUUAAGGCUGACUUCAUAAUAAACAAUGAAGGCUAGAAUUACAUAUUCAAAGCGAUAAAAGAAAAAAAUUAGCCAACAGAAGAAGACACAUAGACAUUGCACUCAGCCCAAUUCUCGCAUGGCUUCCUUAAAAAGUUUUCCUUUUAAAACCCCUGCCUCUCCCACAAAAAAUCAAAGUGAUUAAUUUGGAUAAGAAUCUGGCUACUUCCCGUUUACUAGUUUUGGUUAAUAGUCACUUUCUUUCUACCAGAUGUUGCUCUUGUUAAUUGCACUCUGCAAGUGGUAAGCAUCUGGACCUGCAUUUCAUUACAAAACUACCAAAACAGAAUUCUAUAUCCAGUGAAACUAUCCUUCAAAAAUGAAGGCUAAAUAAGGAUGUUCCCAGAUUAAUAAAGACUGAGAGAAUUUGCUGUUAGCAAAUCUACCUUCUAAGAAAUACUAAAGGAAGACCUUCAAUGCUGAAAGGAAAUGACACCAGAUCCAGAACUACGGGAAGAAAUGUAGAGCAACGGAAAAGGGCUGGGCCAUACAGUAUGUACUCAAGAUUUAGUAGUUAAUUGACUGAUUGAACUUUAUAGAGAAGUACAGAUACAAUAUUACGGAAAUUCAGAGGAGAGAAAUUACUAACAACUUGAGCAGGUGGAAAAGCAUUGAAGCUUGGUAGAGAAGAUGGUGGAACUGUGCAGCAUUGAGACAUGUCCAGUUGGAGAGAUAUGAAGCUGGGUGAAAGUAGUACAAGAGGAGGCAACUGAAUGUACAACGGCAAAGAGAAAGAAGAAUCAGUGGAUGUGCAGAGGAAAGAGUGUGCAGGGAGCUUCCGGUAGCUGCCACAAUCCUUGGCUAGUGACCCCUUCCACCAUCUUCAAAGUCAGCAUCAAUCUUUAAAAAGCAUCUAUAACCCACUGAAUAAGAUGGGUUAGAAGAUGAAGCUGCUGAGAAGUGCUGCAAAGCUGAUGGUAUUGAUAUCAACACAGACAUCAUAUGCUUUUGGGGAACAGUGCACUCAGUUGACACUUAUUCCUAAUAAAUUCAAACAGUGGAGAGUUCUCUAACUUAUUUUUAAAGUCUCUUUAAUCUAUACUUCCUAUUGUUGAAUGAUACAAAUUAGUUUCUUGAUCUCUGUUCAGAUACUGGGUUACAUACAAUUUUUGGCCAUUUAAGUAUACUGUAAAUCCCUCCAGAAAACUUUCUUAUAUUGUCUUGUGCUUCACAGCUAGUUUUCAGGCAUAUGUACUGCUUACAAAUUAGUUUGGUAUUUAAAAAGGAGUUGUGGCUUGAGUUACAAAGAUUUAAAGUUAAAGCAAUGCUCUUAAUAAUUUCUAUUUUCUCACUGAAUCAAUUCACACUAGACACCCCUUUAACUUCCAUAUACAUGAUCACUCACCUUCUGUCCAAAAAUCUAUUUUAGGAAAGAGCAGAAGUACAAGAGGACCUUGUAAACAAUACUACUAAUAUUAGUAGGAAUACGGCAAGGUUUAAGAGUGACAACUUUAGCUUCACUACUUUCAAGCUGCUUACUAGCUGGGACAAGUUGUAUAAAUUCUCCGAGCCCAUUUUCCUCAUUUAAAAAAGGGGCCAUAGACAUUUUUCCAAAGACAUACAAAUGGCCAACAAGCACAUGAAAAGAUGCUCAAUAUAGUUAACCAUUAGGGAAAUAUAAAUAAAAAACACAAUUUCAACCACAAUAGUACUACAUACACAUUAGAAUAAUUAUGUUAAAAAUAAAAAAAUAACAAGUGCUUUCAAGAAUGUAGAGAAAUUGGAACCUCUGCAUUACUGAUAGGAAUGUAAAAUGGUACAGUCUCUUUGGAAAGCAGUCUGAUAGUUCCUCAAAAGGUUAGACAUAGAAUGACCGAAUGACCCAGCAAUUCUACUCCUAGGUAUACACAAGAGAAAUGGAAACAUAUGUCCACACAUAAAUUUGUACAUGAAUGCUCACAGCAGCAUUGUUCAUAAGAGCCACAGAAUACAAAUGAUCAAAAUGUCAGUCAACUAACUAAUGAAUAAAUAAAAUGUGGUCGAUUAUUAUUUAGCAAUGAAAAGGAGUGAAGUACUUAUACAUGCAAUAACAAUGACUGAACCUUGAUAACACUAUGCUAAAUGUAAGAAGCCUAUCACAAAAGACCACAUGUUACAUAUUUUAUUCAUAUUAAAUAUCCAGAAUAGGCAAAUCUAUAGUUACAGAUAGUUGAUUAAUAACUACCUAAAGCUGAGGAUGGGGUGAGGCUGAGGGACUGAGGAGUGACUGUCAAUGGGUACAGAGUUUCUUUCUGGGGUGUUGAAAAUGUUAUGAAAUUCUGGUGAUGCUUGCACAACAUCGUGAAUAGACCAAAAAUCAUUGAAAUGGAUGUUUUAAAUUGCCAAUUGUACGGUAUAUGACUAAUAUAAUAAUAAAACUGUUAAAAUGAGGCAAGUAGUUGGGUUUAUCACAAAGAGUUGCUGGGAAAAUUAAAUAAAAUAAGCUAUAUAAAGUAUUUAAUAUAGUGCCUAGUACCCUGUAAGCAAUCAAUAAGUGACAGCUCCACCACCACCACCACUGCCACUACUACUACUACUGAUAUUAUCACUACAAAUAAUAAUAAUUAUUAUUAGUAGUAGAAUUAUUAUUAAAUAAGAUUAUAAUAAUAAUUGCUAUUCUUAGCAGUACUAGAAAUGUUAUUAAAUUAUACUAAGUAGAGUAAUAACAUUAUUAUUUGUAAUAGUAGAGCUGUUAUUAAAUAAUAAUUACUAUAGUUGUUAAUAUUAUUUAGCUGUCCUUAUUAGAAUGAUAGUUUUUUCCUAGGAUAGAGUUUGGGGUCUAGAUAAUGUUACCAUACCCAGUGUGCUAUAAUAAAAAGAAAAAACUUCGGAGUGAAACAGAUCUUGUUGAAAUCCCAUCUUUGUCACUUACUAAUUAUGUAACAUCAUGUAAGCUAUUUCACCUGUCUGUGGUUACGUUUCCUCAUCUGCAAAAUAAUUCAACAAUAUCUACUACUACUUUGAGCUCUUAUGAGUAAUAAGACACUGUAUGUGCAAAUACCCAUUUUAGUGCCUAGUACCUAGUAAAUUCUCAAAUAAUUUUGGUUUCAAAUAUAUGAAAUAAUGGUUUUGGCUUUUUAAAAAUAUGAUGAAACACCAUCAAACUUGUAUCAGUAUCUCAAUAAGACAUAAGCCUAAGCAAUGCCCCCAAACACCAAUGUAUGCAUAGAGGACUGGUUAACAAUCAUGCUAUUUAAGAGAUGUUCGUAAUCACAUUGUUAGAUUAUAACAGACACUAUUUAGUAAACUGUUAACUUUUUUCCCAUUUCAUUCUUAAAAAUCUCAAAACAAGCACAGCUGUUAUAGAAACUUAGACAAAGUAAGGGAACCAGUUUCAGUCUCACUCAAUACUGCAGCCAACUCUUAAGGAAAAGGCUUGGUCCAGAUUUUCCAAAGCUGUAAAUAAUGCACAUGGUAUAUGAUCUGGGCAAUAGAAUGGUUUUCAGUUUGGGGUAGCUCACGCUAAGCUUGUGCGUGUUAUCCUGAAUAAAUAGGUCUUUUGGAAACAACUCACUAACCCUAGAAUGUCUACAAGGGUGAGGAAAUUCUGCCAUGAACUAGCUCCCAUUACGUGUGCCAAGAAAACUGAGUUAGUUCAUAAUACCCUCCUUCUUACUCUCCAAAGUCUCCAUAGUGUUCAGUUAUUCAAGAUUACAUAAAAGUUUUUAAGGAGUUAUUUGAAACUAAGAGGGUAAGAAUAUGAUAUAAAAAAUUUAAAAAAUCCCUUGCUUCCACCAUUAUACACACAAUGCAUAUACCAAGUUAUGACUCCAGCUAAUGAAAUAACCAUGUAUUACUAUUUGCAUUAACAAUAAUUCUACUUCAUCCAUGUCCCUACAAAGGACAUGAACUCAUCCUUUUUUAUGGCUGCAUAGUAUUCCAUGGUGUAUAUGUGCCACAUUUUCUUCUUAAAGUAUAAAAAAAAAUAAAAAUAAAAAAAUAAAAAAUACAAUAAUUCUAGUUUGACAUUUAGCUCAGUUGUUGACUUGCUUUGGAUUGUUCAUUUUAUUUCAACUUUAGAAGGAGUUGAUUAAUUUUGUUAAACUUAAUUGAUUCAAGGGUAUCAUAAAUUUCCAUUUUUAGUAUUUGCCACAUUAAAGCAAAUGGUGGACAAUUUAUGAUUUCAAAAGGUUCUAUUCUUGGUAAUUCUUAAUUAUUUUCAGAUAAAUCUAGUAAUUGGGUUGAAGCUACAGAGUUUUGUCAUUGUUUUUAGUGAAAGCCUAAGCAUAUAGAACAUGAGGUCCUGCCACAAGAAAAAUCAUUUUCCUUUUUCCCUCUUUUGGCAGUUCUCAUAUUGCGAUGCAAUUCUACUUAUGCACAUCUGUUUCCCCACUAGAUUGAGAACUCCUUAAGGCCAAGAAAUUCAUUUAAUUCACCUCUGUAUUUUCAGGAGCUAAUAUGCUGGCAUCCAGUAAGAACUCAAUAAAUGUUUUUAGGUAAAUAAUGUUUUAUAAAAAACAUAAAUUUAGUUGAAUAGCUUAUUUCCUAAUUUGGGAUUAAACUGGGUAUUUGUUUGCCUUCUAGUCCUGAGUAUUGAAUUAAAUGUUAUAUUUUGAUAUAUUCUCUUGUAGAGUCUUUUACACUGGUCUCUUAAGGGAUCUGAUAUAAUUUUCAGUAGAAACUGAUAUGCUAGGGAAAUCGAUUUCUGAUGAAGAUUAACACUUCUUACAUAUAUAGAGACAGUUUGAGCCAAUAGCAUAUAACACACUCAUGAAAUAUGAAUUUGAAUAGCCUGUAAAAAUAAAAUAAAUUCUGAAUGAGAAUAGAAAAGAAAAAGAAUCUUUUAUACUGGAUCAGAUUUGUCUAGAAAUGAACUAUUGGCUUUUUGAAACAUCAAAAGUAACCCAAUUAGCUUGGAUGUUCUACUUGUCUGGGUUUUUCUGAUCUACCUUAGGCCCCCCAGGCCUCCUUUUUGAUUCACACAGAAAGAGAAAGUAAAUGUUUAUAUGUAUUUUCUGCAUAAUGCUGUCUAGCUUAUUUCAAGUUUUAAAAAACUUCCAAGAAGAAAAUUAUCGGCCAGGCUCGAUGGCUCAUGCCUGUAAUCCCAGCACUUUGGGAGGCCGAGGCUGGUGGAUCACCUGAGUUCAGGAGUUUGAGACCAGCCUGGCCAACACAGCGAAACCCAAUGUCUACUAAAAAUACAAAAAUUAUCUGGGCGUGGUGGCACCUGACUGUGAUUCCAGCUGCUUGGGAGGCUGAGACAGGAGAAUCACUUGAACCCGGGAGGCGGAGGUUGCAGUGAGUCGAGAUCAUGCCACUGCACUCUACCCCGUGUGACAGAGCAAGGCUUCAUCUCAAGAAAAAAAGAAAGAAAAAGAAAGAGAGAGAGAGAGAGAGAGAGAGAGAGAGAGAGAAAGAGAGAAAGAAAAGAAAGAAAGAAAGAGAAAGAAAGAAAGAGAGAGAGAGAGAGAAAGAAAGAAGGAAGGAAGGAAGGAAAGAAAAAGAAAGAAAGAAAGAAAAAGAAAGAGAAAGAAAGAAAGAAAGGAAGGAAGGAAAAGAAAAUUAUCAUCAUCAGUCAGAAGAACAGAGCACAUUUUGAAACUCACCUUUAAUUAAAAUUAGAUAGCAGAUCUCAAAUCUUUCAUGCAAAUUUGUUCAUGACUUUUUCAAAGCUUCCAGGAGUGUGUUACAGUUUGUAAAGCAUGCAUUUGGGUCUCAUGAAAAGAAGUAGUUUAUGAAAAAGGGUCUAUCUAGCAUGAAUAUAUUUCAAAUGGGGCACAUGUCCUUACAAUAUUUUAAUAAAUUUGUAUUAAAGGUGUAAAAUAAGUUUAUAUAUUGUAAUACAGUGUUGUUUUACUUAGAAAAAAUUAUUGAAAAUAUUUUUUUUUCAACUGCUGAGAAAAGAAUUGGCCCUGGUAUAGUCAAGGUUUAUUUCUCGAAUUUAAAGCUAAAUUUACCUUCAGAGAGAGAAAAAAUAAAGGAUAACAGGACCAAAUUGGAAUUUUGCACGUACGUGUUGUACAUUGUUUUAUCUUUUAUAUAUCAUACAUUACCACAGGGAACGUUAGUUGCAUAGACUUGUUUUGUGAGAGCAAUAGUUUUCAGAUUAUUUUGUUAAGAAUGUGUUUAUCAUCUCAAAAUAUAUGGUUAUUUGGUAAAGAUU